CCCUUUGGGGUGUGACUGCGUACCUUUUGUAUAAUGGGUCAGCGACUUAUAUUCUGUAGCAAGGUUAACCGAAUAGGGGAGCCGGAGGGAAACCGAGUCUUAAUUGGGCGUUAAGUUGCAGGGUAUAGACCCGAAACCCGGUGAUCUAGCCAUGGGCAGGUUGAAGGUUGGGUAACACUAACUGGAGGACCGAACCGACUAAUGUUGAAAAAUUAGCGGAUGACCUGUGGCUGGGGGUGAAAGGCCAAUCAAACCGGGAGAUAGCUGGUUCUCCCCGAAAGCUAUUUAGGUAGCGCCUCGUGAAUUCAUCUCCGGGGGUAGAGCACUGUUUCGGCUAGGGGGCCAUCCCGGCUUACCAACCCGAUGCAAACUGCGAAUACCGGAGAAUGUUAUCACGGGAGACACACGGCGGGUGCUAACGUCCGUCGUGAAGAGGGAAACAACCCAGACCGCCAGCUAAGGUCCCAAAGUCAUGGUUAAGUGGGAAACGAUGUGGGAAGGCCCAGACAGCCAGGAUGUUGGCUUAGAAGCAGCCAUCAUUUAAAGAAAGCGUAAUAGCUCACUGGUCGAGUCGGCCUGCGCGGAAGAUGUAACGGGGCUAAACCAUGCACCGAAGCUGCGGCAGCGACGCUGAUGCGUUGUUGGGUAGGGGAGCGUUCUGUAAGCCUGUGAAGGUGGCCUGUGAGGGUUGCUGGAGGUAUCAGAAGUGCGAAUGCUGACAUAAGUAACGAUAAAGCGGGUGAAAAGCCCGCUCGCCGGAAGACCAAGGGUUCCUGUCCAACGUUAAUCGGGGCAGGGUGAGUCGACCCCUAAGGCGAGGCCGAAAGGCGUAGUCGAUGGGAAACGGGUUAAUAUUCCCGUACUUGGUGUUACUGCGAAGGGGGGACGGAGAAGGCUAUGUUGGCCGGGCGACGGUUGUCCCGGUUUAAGCGUGUAGGUGUGUGUUCCAGGUAAAUCCGGUUCACUUUAACACUGAGGCGUGAUGACGAGGCACUACGGUGCUGAAGCAACAAAUGCCCUGCUUCCAGGAAAAGCCUCUAAGCAUCAGGUAACAUCAAAUCGUACCCCAAACCGACACAGGUGGUCAGGUAGAGAAUACCAAGGCGCUUGAGAGAACUCGGGUGAAGGAACUAGGCAAAAUGGUGCCGUAACU
rnacentral:rRNA from 1 species